ACUACGGGUGGCAGCAGUGAGGAAUAUUGGUCAAUGGACGAGAGUCUGAACAAGCCAAGUAGCGUGAAGGAUGACGGCCCUAUGGGUGGUAAACUUCUUUUAUAGGGGAAUAAAAGGUGCCACGUGUGGGAUUUUGUAUGGACCAUAUGAAUAAGGAUAGGCUAACUCCGUGCCAGCAGCCGCGGUAAGACGGAGGAUCCGAGCGUUGUGCGGAUUUAUUGGGUUUAAAGGGAGCGUAUGCGGUUUGUGAUGUCAGUUGUGAAAGUUUGCGGCUGAACCGUACAAUUGCAGUUGAAACUGGCAGUCUUGCGUCCAGUAGCGUUGGGCUGACUUCGUGUUGUAGCGGUGCAAUGCUUAGAUCUCACGAAGAACUCCGGUUGCG
rnacentral:rRNA from 1 species